GCCCAGUGACAUACUGUUCAACGGCCGCGGUAUCCUAACCGUGCAAAGGUAGCAUAAUCACUUGCCUAUUAAUUGUAGGCUAGAAUGAAGGGGUUAACGAAAUAAAAACUGUCUCAAUUAGUCACCUAAAAAUUAUUAUCUACUUGAAGAAAAGUAGAUAAACUCGAAGGACAAGAAGACCCUAUAGAGCUUAAUUUUAAAUAUAGAACUACACUAUAUUAAUAUUCGGUUGGGGCGACCCAGGGCUAAAUAAUCACCCUUUACAUAAAAGAUAAAUUAAUCAAAUAACUGACCCUUCAAAGAUCAUAAGACCAAGCUACCUUAGGGAUAACAGGCUAAUCCCACUCAAGAGUCCUUAUCAACAGUGGGGUUUGGCACCUCGAUGUUGGCUUAGGGUAUCUAUAUAGCGCAAAAGUUAUAUAAAGAUGGUUUGUUCAACCAAUAAUUUCCCUACAUGAGCUGAGUUCAGACCGGCGUAAGCCAGGUUAGCUUCUAUCCUCGACCACAUAUUCUACUCCUAGUACGAAAGGACCUGAGCAGAAUAAUUACUUAUAGAAAAGAAUACAUAUAAUUAAACAUAAAUAAUACCACACUAUAAACUAUAUAAGUGUGUUGGCAGAAUAGUGCAAUUGAUUUAGGAUCAAUUUAUGGAAUUAAUACCACACACUAUACUGUGACUUAGUUUAUUUAGAACAAUCAACUUGCACUUGAUAAGAGAGAUCUCUCAGUGACGGUUUGAAGUUUAGGAAACACUAGAUUUUGAACAUCUAUAAGAACGUUCAAUUCGUUAUCAAACCUUAACAAGAUGGCAGAAUA
rnacentral:rRNA from 1 species